UUAUUUUUUGGUUUCCGUUACUGUUUGGUUGCUGAGAAAUCAUAGGAAAUUGAAUUCUGCAUUUUUUUAUAGGUCUCACUUUUCAGUUUGAUUGGUUAAAUUAGCUUGACACUUUUCUUUUAACAAUGUUUUGGUUGCGAAUAUAGAAAGAAGAAAGUAAAGAACAUGAAGCAAGUUUUAUAUCAGUGUCAUACUCUGAUAAACGGUUUGGAUAUGAAAGAAAAGAAAUUAAAAAAGGAUCUGAAAUUAUGAACUCAUGUUCUUUGAAUUUGGUAAAUGGAUAAGUUGGGAUUUUCAUUUUUUGAUGGAAUGCCAAUUACCUUCCCACCCCUCUUUUGGUGCAGGAAGAGAUUGUUUUUGUCUUAUGCCUACUGGAGGAGGCAAGUCGAUGUGUUAUCAGAUUCCUGCACUGGCCAAAAUAGGAAUUGUGCUUGUUGUUUGUCCUUCAAUAGCCUUAAUGGAAAA